AGUGAACGCUGGCGGUAGGCCUAACACAUGCAAGUCGAACGGCAGCACAGUAAGAGCUUGCUCUUACGGGUGGCGAGUGGCGGACGGGUGAGGAAUACAUCGGAAUCUACUUUUUCGUGGGGGAUAACGUAGGGAAACUUACGCUAAUACCGCAUACGACCUACGGGUGAAAGCAGGGGAUCUUCGGACCUUGCGCGAUUGAAUGAGCCGAUGUCGGAUUAGCUAGUUGGCGGGGUAAAGGCCCACCAAGGCGACGAUCCGUAGCUGGUCUGAGAGGAUGUUCAGCCACUCUGGAACUGAGACACGGUCCAGACUCCUACGGGAGGCAGCAGUGGGGAAUAUUGGACAAUGGGCGCAAGCCUGAUCCAGCCAUACCGCGUGGGUGAAGAAGGCCUUCGGGUUGUAAAGCCCUUUUGUUGGGAAAGAAAAGCAGCAGGUUAAUACCCCGCUGUUCUGACGGUACCCAAAGAAUAAGCACCGGCUAACUUCGUG
rnacentral:rRNA from 1 species